rnacentral:rRNA from 1 species
UAGGGAAUCUUCGGCAAUGGACGGAAGUCUGACCGAGCAACGCCGCGUGAGUGAAGAAGGUUUUCGGAUCGUAAAGCUCUGUUGUAAGAGAAGAACGAGUGUGAGAGUGGAAAGUUCACACUGUGACGGUAUCUUACCAGAAAGGGACGGCUAACUACGUGCCAGCAGCCGCGGUAAUACGUAGGUCCCGAGCGUUGUCCGGAUUUAUUGGGCGUAAAGCGAGCGCAGGCGGUUAGAUAAGUCUGAAGUUAAAGGCUGUGGCUUAACCAUAAUAGGCUUUGGAAACUGUUUAACUUGAGUGCAAGAGGGGAGAGUGGAAUUCCAUGUGUAGCGGUGAAAUGCGUAGAUAUAUGGAGGAACACCGGUGGCGAAAGCGGCUCUCUGGCUUGUAACUGACGCUGAGGCUCGAAAGCGUGGGGAGCAAACAGGAUUAGAUACCCUGGUAGUCCACGCCGUAAACGAUGAGUGCUAGGUGUUAGACCCUUUCCGGGGUUUAGUGCCGUAGCUAACGCAUUAAGCACUCCGCCUGGGGAGUACGACCGCAAGGUUG